GAAGAGGUGGCCGAGUGGCCGAAGGCGCGCGCUUGGAAAGCGUGUAUACAGUGAUGAACUGUAUCGAGGGUUCGAAUCCCUUCCUCUUCGCCA
rnacentral:tRNA from 1 species